rnacentral:rRNA from 1 species
AAGGAACUAUGGUCGAAGUCUGACGGAGCACGCCGCGUGAGUGAUGAAGGCUUUCGGGUCGUAAAACUCUGUUGUUAGGGAAGAACAAGUACGAGAGUAACUGCUCGUACCUUGACGGUACCUAACCAGAAAGCCACGGCUAACUACGUGCCAGCAGCCGCGGUAAUACGUAGGUGGCAAGCGUUAUCCGGAAUUAUUGGGCGUAAAGCGCGCGCAGGCGGUUUCUUAAGUCUGAUGUGAAAGCCCACGGCUCAACCGUGGAGGGUCAUUGGAAACUGGGGAACUUGAGUGCAGAAGAGAAAAGCGGAAUUCCACGUGUAGCGGUGAAAUGCGUAGAGAUGUGGAGGAACACCAGUGGCGAAGGCGGCUUUUUGGUCUGUAACUGACGCUGAGGCGCGAAAGCGUGGGGAGCAAACAGGAUUAGAUACCCUGGUAGUCCACGCCGUAAACGAUGAGUGCUAAGUGUUAGAGGGUUUCCGCCCUUUAGUGCUGCAGCUAACGCAUUAAGCACUCCGCCUGGGGAGUACGGUCGCAAGACUGAAACUCAAAGGAAUUGACGGAAGCU